GCUGCCUCUGUCUCCUGCUCCUGACCCUGAGCCUGCUGGGCCUGACCUAUCAAUCAGAUUCCUCUGAACUUAAUGUCACAGUUGGGGAAAAUGUGACCUUCAGAGCUGAAAGACUGCAGAAGGGAUUCCUGAAAUUCCACAGCAACGUCAUUGCGGAUGUGAACGGGAGGAACUGCAACACCAGGGAUGCACAGUUCACAGACAGAGUGCAGUGGGACAGUGAGAGCAGACACAUCAAAAUCCUCAACCUCAACCUGAACGACACUGGAGUCUACAUCGUGGAAAUCAAGAACAAUGAGACGUCGUACAAACAGUUUCAAGUAAACGUGUUUGGUAAAUGGCUGAAGAGUGUUUCAAUCUGAUCUACUGAAGCCAGUACAACCGGAUGAGAUAGUCCAGUCAGGACAGGAGGCACGUCUUUACGCAAAAGGUGGUGGGUGAUCCUUGGAUCAAUGAACAACUAGCUACCAAAUGCUCAUUCUUUGCUUGCUCCACACUCCCACAACCCAUUGUGUAAAGGAGUGUCUCCUGCUCCCACUUUUGUCCACUGGUUUGUGUUUCAGUGUCGAUUUUGAACAAGCCGGCUGGGCUGGUUUUGGCAAUGCCUUUGAUUCAAACCUUUGAAGUUUUUGAAUGCCUGGCUCACGUCCCCUUGUAGGCCUUUCUGUUCUAGUGAAGACUCUUCUGACUACCCUUCUCCUCGUCUUUUCUUCCCCUCCUGUACAGAGCUCGUGUCAAGGGCAAGAGUCCAGGCCACCCGCACAGCCUCUCCGUCAAACACAUUCUGCUCUCUGCUGUGUUCAGUGGAGAACGGGAGAGGACUCACCCUGUUCUGGCACAGAGAGGGACAGGACCAACCUGUGAGCCGCAGCUCCUCUUCUACCAGCUCCAAUCUGACUCUCCUUCUUGAGAUAGAAAAUCUGAACGUCUCCUACACCUGCUCUGUCAGCAACCCUGUCAGCUGUAAGAUCACAGAGGUCAACCCUCACAACUACUGUGCUGGCCCCAGGCCCACAGCCCCUGUCCAAGUGCCAGUGGAGUUCAUAGUGAGGACGGUGCUGUCUGUGCUGGUGAUGCUGGGACUCACAGCCGUGCUUCUGACCCGCUGCACAGGGAGGAGGACUGAGACAAGAAGAUAAAAGAGAGAAAGAGAGACAACCCUGCACACUGAGUCUACACUCUACACCCUGAACACUCAACACCACCGAGCUCCACACCCAGUGACCCUGUCUACACUCUACACCCUGAACACUCAACACCACUGAGCUUCACACUCACAGCCCUGCACACUUAGUGACCCUGUCUACACUCUUCACCCUGAACACUCAACACCACUGAACUGCACACUCACAACCCUGCACAUUGAGUUACCCUGAACAUUCUUUUUGAAGACGAUCACUGAUGUUGAUAGAUUUCUUCCAGGAUAUAGAAAAUCUUCCACUAACAGCUGUCAGUAAAGGUAACAAACCUUUUGUAACUAAACACACAUCUUCAAAGUCUACACUGCAUGUGUCAAUUCUAGGAAUUCAGCUUGAUUUUCUCUUUGGAAAGAAGACUGUUAUUGCAAUA